CAUAGGUUAAUGAGGCGAACCGGGGGAACUGAAACAUCUAAGUACCCCGAGGAAAAGAAAUCAACCGAGAUUCCCCCAGUAGCGGCGAGCGAACGGGGAGGAGCCCAGAGCCUGAAUCAGUGUGUGUGUUAGUGGAAGCGUCUGGAAAGGCGCGCGAUACAGGGUGACAGCCCCGUACACAAAAAUGCACAUAUUGUGAGCUCGAUGAGUAGGGCGGGACACGUGGUAUCCUGUCUGAAUAUGGGGGGACCAUCCUCCAAGGCUAAAUACUCCUGACUGACCGAUAGUGAACCAGUACCGUGAGGGAAAGGCGAAAAGAACCCCGGCGAGGGGAGUGAAAAAGAACCUGAAACCGUGUACGUACAAGCAGUGGGAGCCUCUUUAUGGGGUGACUGCGUACCUUUUGUAUAAUGGGUCAGCGACUUAUAUUCUGUAGCAAGGUUAACCGAAUAGGGGAGCCGAAGGGAAACCGAGUCUUAACUGGGCGUUAAGUUGCAGGGUAUAGACCCGAAACCCGGUGAUCUAGCCAUGGGCAGGUUGAAGGUUGGGUAACACUAACUGGAGGACCGAACCGACUAAUGUUGAAAAAUUAGCGGAUGACUUGUGGCUGGGGGUGAAAGGCCAAUCAAACCGGGAGAUAGCUGGUUCUCCCCGAAAGCUAUUUAGGUAGCGCCUCGUGAAUUCAUCUCCGGGGGUAGAGCACUGUUUCGGCAAGGGGGUCAUCCCGACUUACCAACCCGAUGCAAACUGCGAAUACCGGAGAAUGUUAUCACGGGAGACACACGGCGGGUGCUAACGUCCGUCGUGAAGAGGGAAACAACCCAGACCGCCAGCUAAGGUCCCAAAGUCAUGGUUAAGUGGGAAACGAUGUGGGAAGGCCCAGACAGCCAGGAUGUUGGCUUAGAAGCAGCCAUCAUUUAAAGAAAGCGUAAUAGCUCACUGGUCGAGUCGGCCUGCGCGGAAGAUGUAACGGGGCUAAACCAUGCACCGAAGCUGCGGCAGCGACACUAUGUGUUGUUGGGUAGGGGAGCGUUCUGUAAGCCUGUGAAGGUGGCCUGUGAGGGUUGCUGGAGGUAUCAGAAGUGCGAAUGCUGACAUAAGUAACGAUAAAGCGGGUGAAAAGCCCGCUCGCCGGAAGACCAAGGGUUCCUGUCCAACGUUAAUCGGGGCAGGGUGAGUCGACCCCUAAGGCGAGGCCGAAAGGCGUAGUCGAUGGGAAACAGGUUAAUAUUCCUGUACUUGGUGUUACUGCGAAGGGGGGACGGAGAAGGCUAUGUUGGCCGGGCGACGGUUGUCCCGGUUUAAGCGUGUAGGCUGGUUUUCCAGGCAAAUCCGGAAAACCAAGGCUGAGGCGUGAUGACGAGGCACUACGGUGCUGAAGCGACAAAUGCCCUGCUUCCAGGAAAAGCCUCUAAGCAUCAGGUAACAUCAAAUCGUACCCCAAACCGACACAGGUGGUCAGGUAGAGAAUACCAAGGCGCUUGAGAGAACUCGGGUGAAGGAACUAGGCAAAAUGGUGCCGUAACUUCGGGAGAAGGCACGCUGAUAUGUAGGUGAAGCGACUUGCUCGUGGAGCUGAAAUCAGUCGAAGAUACCAGCUGGCUGCAACUGUUUAUUAAAAACACAGCACUGUGCAAACACGAAAGUGGACGUAUACGGUGUGACGCCUGCCCGGUGCCGGAAGGUUAAUUGAUGGGGUUAGCGGUAACGCGAAGCUCUUGAUCGAAGCCCCGGUAAACGGCGGCCGUAACUAUAACGGUCCUAAGGUAGCGAAAUUCCUUGUCGGGUAAGUUCCGACCUGCACGAAUGGCGUAAUGAUGGCCAGGCUGUCUCCACCCGAGACUCAGUGAAAUUGAACUCGCUGUGAAGAUGCAGUGUACCCGCGGCAAGACGGAAAGACCCCGUGAACCUUUACUAUAGCUUGACACUGAACAUUGAGCCUUGAUGUGUAGGAUAGGUGGGAGGCUUUGAAGUGUGGACGCCAGUCUGCAUGGAGCCGACCUUGAAAUACCACCCUUUAAUGUUUGAUGUUCUAACGUUGGCCCGUAAUCCGGGUUGCGGACAGUGUCUGGUGGGUAGUUUGACUGGGGCGGUCUCCUCCUAAAGAGUAACGGAGGAGCACGAAGGUUGGCUAAUCCUGGUCGGACAUCAGGAGGUUAGUGCAAUGGCAUAAGCCAGCUUGACUGCGAGCGUGACGGCGCGAGCAGGUGCGAAAGCAGGUCAUAGUGAUCCGGUGGUUCUGAAUGGAAGGGCCAUCGCUCAACGGAUAAAAGGUACUCCGGGGAUAACAGGCUGAUACCGCCCAAGAGUUCAUAUCGACGGCGGUGUUUGGCACCUCGAUGUCGGCUCAUCACAUCCUGGGGCUGAAGUAGGUCCCAAGGGUAUGGCUGUUCGCCAUUUAAAGUGGUACGCGAGCUGGGUUUAGAACGUCGUGAGACAGUUCGGUCCCUAUCUGCCGUGGGCGCUGGAGAACUGAGGGGGGCUGCUCCUAGUACGAGAGGACCGGAGUGGACGCAUCACUGGUGUUCGGGUUGUCAUGCCAAUGGCACUGCCCGGUAGCUAAAUGCGGAAGAGAUAAGUGCUGAAAGCAUCUAAGCACGAAACUUGC
rnacentral:rRNA from 1 species